AGUACGGUUGUACGUCCGUCGGCGUACGACGGACGAACGCUGGCGGCACGCCUAACACAUGCAAGUCGAACGGUGUUUGAGAGCUUGACUCUAAAACAUAGUGGCGGACGGGUGAGUAACACGUGAGCAACCUGCCUCUGAGAGAGGGAUAGCUUCUGGAAACGGAUGGUAAUACCUCAUAACAUAGUAGAGCCGCAUGACUUUACUAUCAAAGAUUUAUCACUCAGAGAUGGGCCCGCGUCUGAUUAGCUAGUUGGUGAGGUAACGGCUCACCAAGGCGACGAUCAGUAGCCGGACUGAGAGGUUGAACGGCCACAUUGGGACUGAGACACGGCCCAGACUCCUACGGGAGGCAGCAGUGAGGGAUAUUGCACAAUGGAGGAAACUCUGAUGCAGCGAUGCCGCGUGGAGGAAGAAGGUUUUCGGAUUGUAAACUCCUGUUUCGAGGGACGAUAAUGACGGUACCUCGGGAGGAAGCUCCGGCUAACUACGUGCCAGCCGCCGC
rnacentral:rRNA from 1 species